rnacentral:rRNA from 1 species
UACGUAGGGGCCGAGCGUUGUCCGGAGUUACUGGGCGUAAAGCGCGCGCAGGCGGUCCCUUAAGCCCGGCGUGAAAGCCCCCGGCUCAACCGGGGAGGGUCGUCGGGGACCGCACCGCUUGAGGGCGGUAGGGGCUGGUGGAAUGCCUGGUGUAGUGGUGAAAUGCGUAGAGAUCAGGCGGAACACCCGUGGCGAAGGCGGCCAGCUGGGCCGUCCCUGACGCUGAGGCGCGAAAGCCAGGGGAGCGAACGGG